rnacentral:misc_RNA from 1 species
GGAUAUCUUCCGGCAAUUACCUGCUCUAUUGUCGAUUCGUCUUCAAUUCGUUUGACUGUCAGCUUCAGGUCCUCAACAACCCGGGUGAGAAGUCCGGCCAAACACUGGGAAAAGGCUAUGCUCAAGUUGUCUGUGUUUUGAACUUCUGAGAACGUUCCUUCAAUGCUAUUAUCUGCGAUAGCCUUGAGCACCCUUGGGUCGUGAUUUAUGCCAAAACCGAAUGUGUGUACAGGCACAUUGCCGACCGGAACCUGGGCAGCGUCACCACCGGUGUUCUGCUCACCAUCCACCAUCGGACAUAAGCAUGAUGCCAACCGAACGCCCACCGCUAAGUCUACGGUCAUUAAGCACUUUUAAGCCAGUUUGAAGGCCAGCAGUGAUGUUGGUUGCACCGUCGGCAUUUAAACCAUUGAUCAGAUUUUCAAGUUCCCUUUGAGAACUUUCAGUUAUCUGGCGCAAUGGGCACAACCUUGCAGCAUCCUUGGAGAAUGUUACAACAGACAAACGAUCAAUGGGGCUAAGUUUCUUGAUCACAAAUAGCAUGGCAGUUUUCACUUUUGCUAUCUUUUCUCCUUUCAUGCUUCCGCUGACAUCUAAUAUCGCCACAAGAUCCAAUCCGGGCCUGUCAUUGCUUGAAUCUCCACCAGUGAUCUCCAGCAUCACCCUGAGUUUGUUUUCUUCAAGUGGUACCAUAUUUUUAUUUAUGCUUAUCAGCUGUACUCUUCCAGGCACGAUUGCUGUUGGUUUUGACCCUGAGUCUUGAGGGGUAACAAUCUUCUCAUCAUCGUUGAAGCCCAUUUUGCCCAGAAAACUGAUCGAUACACACAAUAAACUGGAUUUGCUUUUUUUUUUUUUUUUAACUGGCUUACUCACACCUCAUGCCUCCCCAAAACUCCUCCAUUUAUAUUUGCGGAGAAGGAAAUACCUGAUUUACGAGUAAUGGACAUGAAUUUUUUUUUUUUU